AAUGAACGCUGGCGGCGUGCCUAACACAUGCAAGUUGAGCGGUAAGGCCCCUUCGGGGGUACACGAGCAGCGAACGGGUGAGUAUCGCGUGGGUAAUCUACCCAGAAGUGCGGGAUAGCCUCGGGAAACCGGGGGUAAUACCGCAUGAGUCCUCGACGGCGCGAGUCGACGAGGGGAAAGGCGGGGAUCCUUCGGGACCUGUCGCUACUGGAUGAGCCCGCGUCCGAUUAGCUUGUUGGUGGGGUAAUGGCCUACCAAGGCGACGAUCGGUAGCCGGCCUGAGAGGGUGAACGGCCACAUUGGGACUGAGACACGGCCCAGACUCCUACGGGAGGCAGCAGUGGGGAAUAUUGGGCAAUGGGGGAAACCCUGACCCAGCGACGCCGCGUGGAGGAUGACGGCCCUCGGGUUGUAAACUCCUGUCAGGUGGGAAGAAGAGCCAUUCGGUUAAUACCCGGAUGGAAUUGACUGUACCACCAAAGGAAGCCCCGGCUAACUCCGUGCCAGCAGCCGCGGUAAUACGGAGGGGGCAAGCGUUAUUCGGAUUUACUGGGCGUUAAGCGCACGUAGGCGGCAGGGUA
rnacentral:rRNA from 1 species